rnacentral:lncRNA from 1 species
AUUAACUAGGCUGUGUGAGAGCUGUGGCUUUUAAGGGAAAUUGUACGUCAGGUGUGUGCUCCCUCUCUUCCCCUUGCAUUGCAGCUAGCUGUCGCGUGGUUGCCUUGUGAGUCACUUCCAGUGGCUUACCUGUCUGAAAACUGACUUGGCAGCAGCAAGAAACAGAGUUCCUUCACUCCACAGAGACAAAGGGACUUGGUGUAUGUGGCAUUGAUGGCCACAUCAAUUAGAGGAGUGGCAAGAGACGGUCUGGACAGAGAGUGUCUAGGCAGUAUCUCACUCUUGGUCUGGCUUGGCUGAAAGAGAAGCCUGCCUGCUAAAGGCACAGUUCCCCAAGGUACCAUGGACUGCUCAUCCAUCUGGAUGUCGGAGGAGCUUUAACUUACUACAGCAGCAGAAACCUACCACAGCUGAGAAGCUUUCUGUUGAGUUAUUGACUCACAGAAACAAGAGCAAAGAAACUAUUGACGAGAGCAGGCUGGAUAACAAAAUCUACAUUGGAACAGAAUUGGGGCAGCAUUGGAAGAAGAGAGUACUAUUUUUUUGAAAAUAUUUCUUUUGGCUGAAGCCAUGCUCCACCAAGGCUGUGGCUAUCACCUGUCCUGGAAGACAUCUCCUGGAGCAAGAGCUAGGCAGAGUUGGCUUUGGCAGCUCUGGCAGCAGGUUGGCAUGCUCCAAAAGCAGUGAUGAUCCUCACCACCCAGCCUAGGCACAGCAUUGGAAGAAAAACAUGGCUCUUCACAAUUCAACUCUGCAGGUUUUCCAGGCUCUUGGACGUGCCGCAAAAUCAUCUCAUCACCCAUAUUGGCAAAAAGUGAUCAUGUGUACAAGAUAUGCGAGAAUUCCCACCGCUUGCCCAAGGACAAGGCUCAAACCGACCUCACACUUUAAACCAGAGCCUGGGGUGCAAAGCAAGAGAUGGGCACCGUCCUCCUGCUGCCAGACGUCCCACCGGCCUGAUGUUGCUGCACACCAGGGCUGUCUCCAGAGGCAUCAGGAGCCACUGGGAUGCUGCUGCCUAGCCCCAGCUGCAGGGGGACGAGCCACACCCGCCCUCUGCAGGCACCAGGCACGGUCCCUUCCCUUCCCUUCCCUUCCCUUCCCUUCCCUUCCCUUCCCUUCCCUUCCCUUCCCUUCCCUUCCCUUCCCUUCCCUUCCCUUCCCUUCCCUUCCCUUCCCUUCCCUUCCCUUCCCUNNNNNNNNNNNNNNNNNNNNNNNNNNNNNNNNNNNNNNNNNNNNNNNNNNNNNNNNNNNNNNNNNNNNNNNNNNNNNNNNNNNNNNNNNNNNNNNNNNNNCCCUUCCCUUCCCUUCCCUUCCCUUCCCUUCCCUUCCCUUCCCCUAAAUUUAAUUCAAACUAUUUUAAUGUCAAAAUAUUACUGAAAUAAUUGGAAAUAAUUUCAUUUUGAGACCUCUACAUUAAAAAAAAUCCUAUUCAGUAAUCACAUUAAAAAAUGUUUUUGGAAAUAAGAAGGAUGCCUGAAACAGAUUUUCCCCAGCCAACAGAAGGGGCAGCAGCAUGCCAGUCCAACUCCUAUCAGUGAACGAAAUGAAAAAUGCUCACCAAGAUGCAGCAACAGUGGUGAGAACAUUUGUUUCUGGUGGUUCAGUGCUGUGUAGCACUUACACAGCUUUGUCAAAGAAACUGAGGGUACCUAGGAAGAAAACUGGAACUGAUGCCCUAGUGACAGUGAAAGCACUGUCUGGCUAUACUUCUCAAAUGCAUCUCUGCAGUGAAUUGUGAGGAGUUUCCAUCCUUCCUCAAGGCUCCCCUGCUUCAUUAUCGGCUGGUCUCCUUCACAAUGUGACCUAGGGGUGCUUAGUGCCCCCUUUCCCUUCUUUCUUCCUCCCAUUGCUCAGCCAUCCCUGUCUGUUGACAAUCCUGCUGGUGACUGAGCAGUGUUGACACAGGCUCCCAUAGCUUGUGAUCCCAAGGUUGCUUAUGCUCUGUGAUCCCAACCAGUGGCAGUGACUGGCAAGAGAUGGCUGCAGCAAUCCCACAGUCCGGUUCCCAGGAUGCUAUUUGGUAUAUCACUGAACUGCCAGUGAAUACUGCAUCUCUUUUUGCCACUCUCACAGCAGUUAAGGGACCUAAGAGUGACUGGGUGUCUGCCCUGAAACAAUUUUCAGGGGCAGCAGAGCACUAGCCUUUGUCUGAAAUCUUCAAAAACCCAUGCCUGAAUGGUGAGGGAAAAUAAAAUCACACUGCUGUACA